rnacentral:misc_RNA from 1 species
GAAAUGCGAUAAGUAGUGUGAAUUGCAGAAUUCAGUGAAUCAUCGAAUCUUUGAACGCACAUUGCGCCCUUUGGCAUUCCGAAGGGCAUACCUGUUCGAGCGUCAGUUGCACAACUCAAGCACAGCUUGGUGAUGGGCGCCUGUCUCCCCGCGCUUUGCGGCGGGACUCGCCUGAAAAGCAUCGGCGUCCGGCGGCGUCGACCCGAUGAGCCCGAGCGUAUGGGGACUUUUGUCACACGUUCGCGGUGCGGACCGGCGCCUGCUUUGACUUUUAAUUUCUAGGUUGACCUCGGAUCAGGUAGGGAUACCCGCUGAACUUAAGC